CGUGACCCCAGGUCAGGUAGGGUUAGUCGUUGAG
rnacentral:rRNA from 1 species